CCAACGCCUCGCUGCUCCGGGGCUACCUCAAGACGUGGGCCGGCUACCGGGAGAUCUGGGAGGUCGACAAGGACGCCUUCAUCAACCGCUACCGUCACCUCAACCCCCUCGUGUCCUCCUUCGACGCCGACAUCGCCCGGUGAGGGCGCGGCCCCCCGCCGCUCCUGCCCGUCUCCGUCCCCGUGUCUCCGUCCCCACACCCAUUUUUGGCUUCACGCCACCAUUUUGGUGUCCCCUUCCUGGUCCUGGUUCCCAUCCUGGUGUCUCCAUCCUGGUGUCUCCAUCGCAGCCUGGUGUCUCCUUCCCAACGCCUGUUCCUGGCCCCAUGCUGCCAUUUUGGUGUCCUCUUCCUGGUGCCAGUUCCUAGCCUGGUGUCCCURUUCUGGUGUCACCGUCCCAGUCUGGUGGCCCCAUACCGGUGUCUCCAUCCCAGUCUGGUGUUCCCCUCUCGGCACCUUUUCUCCUUCUAGUGUCCCCAUCUCAGUGUCCCCCUUUCUUGUCCCAGUUCCCAGCCCUGUGUCCCCAUCCCAGCAUUCCCCUCCCGGCACCCACUUGUGGUCUGGUGUCCCCAUCCUGGUGUCCCCCAUUCCAGCCUGGUGUCCCCCUUCUGGCACCUAUUCUUGGCCUAGUGUCCCCAUGUUCCUAUCUUUCUUUCCUGGUUCCCCAUCCCGGUGUCCCCUUCCCAUCCCGGUGUCCCCAUCCCGGCACCCAUUCUUGCCUUGGCGUCCCCGCGUUGGCGUCUUCUUCUUAGCUUGGCGGCUACAUCCCGGUACCCGUCCCCGUUCUUGGGUCCUUCUCCUCGUCCCCGUUCGUAGCCYGGCGUCCCCCUCCUGGUGUCCCCCUCCCCGCGCCGGCGUCCCCGUGCCGGUGUCCCCGCGCGGGCGCUGACGGGGCUCCGGGCGCAGCUACAUGGAGGUGGCCAACAACGCGCAGAAGGAGGAGACGGCGGCGAGCGUGCAGUUCGUGCUGCUCGACUGCGGGCAGCUGAAGGGCGCCGUGGUGCGCCACUGCGGCGAGUGGCAGGGCCGCUUCACCGGCCUGCUCCGGGAGAUGGCCGCCGCCCGCCUCCGCGCCCUGCACGCCUACCUGCGCCGCAACGGCCAGGCGU
rnacentral:lncRNA from 1 species